UGUGUGUGUGUGUGUGUGUGUGUGUGUGUGUGUGUGUGUAUGCGCACGCACACACACAUAUACAUACUGCACUGCAUU